ACCACCUCUUCCCAUUCCGAACAGAGAAGUUAAGCUCACCAUCGCCGAUGGUACUGCCCCACCAGGUGGGAGAGUAGGUAGCUGCCGUUC
rnacentral:rRNA from 1 species